ACCUUUCUUAAUCAUUCACAUCCAAUAUAAUUAAAUACACAUCCCCCUUUUCUCUCUACCCAUUUUUGGGGAUUUCCCACAAGGGGGGAAAGCCCACCGGAGCAAUACCGCGUGGGGGAGGAAGGCUCUUGCGGUUUUAACCCUCUUUUCCCAAGGAAAAAAAAAGUGAAGGGUACCUGAGGAAUCAGAUUCGGCUAACUCCUCCCCAGCAGCGGCGGUAAAAAGGGGAACGCUAGCUUCAUCCGGAAUGAUUGGGCGUAAAGCGUCCGCAGGCGGCUAUGUAAGUCCGCUGUUAAAGAGCAAACCUUACCUUUGUAAAAGCAGGGGAAACUACAUAGCUAAAGUGCGUUCGGGGCAGAGGGAAUUCCUGGUGGAGCGGUGAAAUGCGUAGAAAUCAGGAAGAAAACCGGUGGGGAAGGCUUUCUCUUUGGUCGCAACUAAAAAAGAGGGACGAAAGCUAGGGGAGCGAAUGGGAUUAGAUACCCCCGUAGUCCUAGCCGUAAACGAAGGAUACUAGGCGUUGCGAGUAUCGACCCUCGCAGUGCCGGAGCCAACGCGUUAAGUAUCCCGCCUGGGGAGUACGCACGCAAGUGUGAAACUCAAAGGAAUUGACGGGGGCCCGCACAAGCGGUGGAGUAUGUGGUUUAAUUCGAUGCAACGCGAAGAACCUUACCAAGACUUGACAUGUCGCGAAUCUUCUUGAAAGGGAAGAGUGCUUAGGAGCGCGAACACGGGGGCAUGGCGUCGCAGCCUGUCGAAUUGGUAUCCACAUAGG
rnacentral:rRNA from 1 species